rnacentral:rRNA from 1 species
GACGAACGCUGGCGGCGCGCCUAAUGCAUGCAAGUCGAGCGACGCAUACCGGAGGAGUAAUCCGCUGGUAUGACGGAGCGGCGAACGGGUGAGUAUCACGUGAGGAACCUGCCCCGAAGACCGGGAUAGCCCGGGGAAACCCGGAUUAAUACCGGAUAAUCUCCGCAGAUCGCAUGGUCUGUGGAGGAAAAGCCUUUGUGCUUCGGGAUGGCCUCGCGCCCUAUCAGCUUGUUGGUGAGGUAACGGCUCACCAAGGCUUCGACGGGUAGCUGGUCUGAGAGGACGAUCAGCCACACUGGGACUGAGACACGGCCCAGACUCCUACGGGAGGCAGCAGCAGGGAAUCUUGUCCAAUGGGCGCAAGCCUGAGACAGCGACGCCGCGUGGGGGAUGAAGGCUUUCGGGUUGUAAACCCCUUUCAGGAGGGACGAAAUUGACGGUACCUCCAGAAGAAGCCCCGGCCAACUACGUG